UACGGAGGGGGCUAGCGUUGUUCGGAAUUACUGGGCGUAAAGCGCACGUAGGCGGCUUUGUAAGUUAGAGGUGAAAGCCCAGGGCUUAACCCUGGAAUUGCCCUUAAGACUGCAUCGCUAGAAUCGUGGAGAGGUGAGUGGAAUUCCGAGUGUAGAGGUGAAAUUCGUAGAUAUUCGGAAGAACACCAGUGGCGAAGGCGACUCACUGGACACGUAUUGACGCUGAGGUGCGAAAGCGUGGGGAGCAAACAGG
rnacentral:rRNA from 1 species